rnacentral:rRNA from 1 species
UGAGUACGAGAGGCUACGGCCUCGAAGCAGUCUAUGUCAUACUUCCAAGAAAAGCUUGCAAUGUCAGAAACAAAUAAUGCCUGUACCAUAACCGACACAGGUGGGUAGGUAGAGUAUACUAAGGGGCGCGAGAUAACUCUCUCUAAGGAACUCGGCAAAAUGACUCCGUAACUUCGGGAGAAGGAGUGCCUUAUUUAUAAGGUUGCAAUAACAAGAUCCAAGCAACUGUUUAUCAAAAACACAGGUCUCCGCUAAGUCGUAGGACGAUGUAUGGGGGCUGACGCCUGCCCAGUGCCAGAAGGUUAAAGAAGUUGGUUAGCAUUCGCAAAGCUGAUAACUGAAGCCCUGGUGAACGGCGGCCGUAACAAUAACGGUCCUAAGGUAGCGAAAUUCCUUGUCGGGUAAGUUCCGACCCGCACGAAAGGCGUAAUGAUUUGGAUACUGUCUCGGAGAGGGGCUCGGUGAAAUAGACUUGUCUGUGAAGAUGCGGACUACCUGCACCAGGACAGAAAGACCCUAUGAAGCUUUACUGUAACUUGAAAUUGAAAUUGGACUUUAUUUGCGCAGUAUAGGUGGGAGGCGUUGAUAAUAUUCUUGUGGGAAUAUUGGAGCCAUCAGUGAGAUACCACUCUUGUAAUGUUAGAUUUCUAACUUUGUAUCAUUAUCUGGUCAAAGAACAGUUUCAGGCGGGCAGUUUGACUGGGGCGGUCGCCUCCCAAACGGUAACGGAGGCGUACAAAGGUUUCCUCUGAACGGGUAGAAAUCGUAUCUAGAGUAUAAAGGCAUAAGGAAGCUUGACUGUGAGACCUACAAGUCGAGCAGGGACGAAAGUCGGUCUUAGUGAUCUGACGGUGCUGAGUGGAAAGGCCGUCACUCAACGGAUAAAAGUUACUCUAAGGAUAACAGGCUGAUCUCCCCCAAGAGUUCACAUCGACGGGGAGGUUUGGCACCUCGAUGUCGGCUCAUCGCAUCCUGGGGCGGUAGUACGUCCCAAGGGUUGGGCUGUUCGCCCAUGAAAGCGGUACGCGAGCUGGGUUCAGAACGUCGUGAGACAGUUCGGUCCAUAUCCGGUGUAGGCGUUAGAAUAUUGAGAGGAGCCUUCUUUAGUACGAGAGGACCGAGAAGGACAUACCUCUGGUGUACCAGAUAUCGUGCCAACGGUAAACGCUGGGUAGCUAUGUAUGGAGAGGAUAACCGCUGAAAGCAUCUAAGUGGGAAGCCCACCUCAAGAUAAG